AAAGUCGUAACAAGGUUUCCGUAGGUGAACCUGCGGAAGGAUCAUUACCAAAAUAUUUCAAUAUUUCAAACCCAUGUGCACGGUGAACGAUUGUCUUGGUUUUUGGGGUGGGCUUUUAACGGUUCACCCCGACCAGUUUUGUCAAACUACUUUUUUAAUUGUCAUGGCAUUGCAACUUAAUAUGUAUAAAUUUAUGACAACUUUUAACGGUGGAUCUCUUGGCUCGU
rnacentral:misc_RNA from 1 species